rnacentral:lncRNA from 1 species
UGGCAGGGCUAUCCUUAGAUGAUGUGUGUAUUGGAUUGUGUCUCCCUUAUGGUAGUUAUUUAUGGUAGUUACUGUCUGAUAUUAUUGCAUGCUAUUUUAUUUAUGGUUCUUAUGCUUAGAGAAUUAUUUACGCUGUUUCUGCUGAAGCUACUAAUGUUCUUUUGUUGUUGUUUUUGUUUUUGUUGUUCUUUUCCUUCACUGAGCCG